AACGAACGCUGGCGGCAGGCUUAACACAUGCAAGUCGAACGGGCGUAGCAAUACGUCAGUGGCAGACGGGUGGGUAACACGUGGGAACCUUCCUAGGGGUACGGAACAACUCAGGGAAACUUGAGCUAAUACCGUAUACGUCCGAGAGGAGAAAGAUUUAUCGCCCUUAGACGGGCCCGCGUCGGAUUAGGUAGUUGGUGGGGUAACGGCCUACCAAGCCGACGAUCCGUAGCUGAUCUGAGAGGAUGAUCAGCCACACUGGGACUGAGACACGGCCCAGACUCCUACGGGAGGCAGCAGUGGGGAAUCUUGGACAAUGGGCGCAAGCUUGAUCCAGCCAUGCCGCGUGAGUGAAGAAGGCCUUAGGGUUGUAAAGCUCUUUUGGCAGGGACGAUAAUGACGGUACCUGCAGAAUAAGCCCCGGCAAACUUCGUGCCAGCAGCCGCGGUAAAAC
rnacentral:rRNA from 1 species